GAAGAGGAGGGGAAACAGGGGCAGGGUAGAGGGCGGCAGGGAGAGGGAAGGGAGAGAAAGGGCAGGAAGGAAAGAGAGAGAAGAAGCCUUUGCAAAGGAGCGCCCAGGGAGGAGCUGGCUCAUUCUGGGACAGGUCAGGGGUUGGCACAGCCAAGGAGAAGAGAGUGGUGGGAGGAGGCUGAUGAGAGAGGAGGGGUUAGAGCAGGCCUAGGGGAGACCACGAGAGGGCUUGGCCUGGGCAUGCUGAGGGUUUGGGGCUUGAUGCUGAAGGGAAUAUGGAGCCCCUGGAUCUCUGUGCAAAGAACACUGAACGUACCUGGGGUCUGGGAAGGCAAGUCUGCUCUGUGGAAUGGGUGAUGGGAGGAGGCGGUGGCACACUUCACAGUGCAUUCUGGAAGCAGGUAGACCAGGAAAUGCCGGAAAGAACAGGGGCGAGAGGAGAGUUAUGGGGUGACUUAGAAGCAAAUGAGAAGUGGGAUCCGCAGAACCUGCAGGCUGAGGGGUGGGAUGGGUCAGAGAUGAGCCCUAGUUUGGGGGUUUGAACAGCUGUCACGUGGGAUCACUAUUCAUCAGGAUAAGCAAUAGGGACUACAGACCAGAAAUGAAGGGAAAUAGAAGGAGUUAAUUUUGAACACAUUAGUGGUAGUGUGUUCUAGAAUCUAGUGUCUUAGUGGUACUUAUGCAGACAUACCAAAACAAGCUGAUGAGCAGAACUCUACUGAAGUUCAAGACAGAGGUUGUCCAGACAGAGAGGACUGGAAGUCACAAGAACGCAAGUAGUUAUAAAAUUGCAGGAGGGAUUAAGAACUCCUAAAGAUAGUAUGUACAUGCUAAACAAUAAGUUCUUUAGGGAGUGAUUUUAAGAAAUAUAUGAUAAUCCAAAGAUUCCAAAGUUAUAUGUUGAUAUUUUAACACCUCUGACAUCAGCAAAUUAAAUUGCCUCUUAAAAUUAAUGGAAGAUCAUAAUUCAAUGGCCAGUGCUUUUUCUUAGUGUUUCUGAAAAUAAUGGUGUCAUAUAAUCAAUGUCAUCUUAUAAUAAGUGAAAUAAGGUGGCUUAUCAAAUCAACCUGGCUCUAAUAAGUGCUCGAAAUUUUUAUUUGCUCUUUUUUAACUCUAUGAAAAAUAUGCAUUUAAAAAUUAUAGAACAGAGAGUAUGCCAGUGGGGCAUAAUAAUGUCAAGACUCAAGUGAGAAGUUUGGAAAAACUGCUACAAGAACUUUAACAGCAACAAGAAGAAUAUCUGCUAUCUAUUGAGCACCUGUGAGCAUUAAUUGUGCAGGUGUUCCAUGAGGUACUUAUGCAUGUUAAUUCAUUUCCAUCUCACUUUGAUCCCAUGAGAUAAAUACUAUUACUGGCUUCAGUUCCCAGAUGAGAAAAUGUAGGCAGUGUUAUAUAACAUCAAGUCUCACUCCUGACAAGGCCACAACAGAAAUCCAGCACAAGUGAUAGAGCCUAGGACUGAAAGGGCACCCCAAUAUUCGGGACCAUCAGUACAGGAAAGUGGAGACACUAUCCUGUCAAAGGAGACGUGAGUCUUCUUCCCAGAUGUCAGGAUUCUAGCCAUGUGGUAAGAUUUCAUGAGCAAGACACAAAUACUCUGGAAAAGAUCCUGGCUCCAGGAGGGACAUGGGGUGUCUAGGAAAGUCAUUCAGAUGAGAACAGGAAGAAGAGCGAAGUGGACACCCAAAUGCAAACAGGAUGGACCUAAAUAUGUCCUCUGGGAAAAGGAGGGAGAAAGAGUGAUUGUUUGGGAGACUGCAGGCCAAGAACCAGGACUUGAAAGUGCUUCACAUUUAGUCAACUUCAGCUUCAAGCUGAUCCUGGAACUGGGGAAAGGACUAACUUACAAGAUUGGAAGGAAGAAGCAAUAGUUGCGAAGAAUGACAAGCAACAGAGACCAGGGAAUCGAUUAGGCAAGGGGAUCUUCCCAACCCAGGGAUCGAGCCCACGUCUUCUGCAUUGGCAGGCAGGUUCUCUACCACUGAGCCACGAGGAAAGCCCUUGUGUUACAGCAGCCCUUUACCUCCUGAGAGGAGCGCUCCGGGAGAGCAGUGUAUCCCUAGCUCCAG
ensembl:lncRNA